AGCUGAAGUAAACAAUGGAAACACUUGGAAUAAGUUUAAAAUCUGCAUAAAUAUUUCAGCAAAAGAGAUCCAGUAAUAUUUAAAUAUCUUUUGGCCAGUGAGACAAAUGAGUGCCUUGGAUCGUUAGUCGUUAGCUUGAGCAUAUCUUUAUGUUUUUGCUGAUCAUCAUUUCCUUUUAAGAAUGCCUGGUUACUGAAAUUUGCAGGCUGAAUAGCAUCACUGGAUGAGGGGCUGAAAGAUAAGAUGCUGUCUUCCUUCUUGUCUAGCUGUUGUGCUGGCUGUGGCCAAGACCAGGCCUGUCUCCUUCCUCAUAAGCUUUCAUUCAGACUGAACUUGAGAUUAUGUGUGGCCAACUGAGAGACAACGGAAAGACAUACAUGUGUUCAGUUCCUCCCAGCCAAAGAUCCUGGCUUGACUCAAAAUAUCUUUAAGUAGUCAGUGUUUGGUGGAUAUUUUCAGUUUGGGAGCUAGUUUUUGCUUCAGUUCACUGUCAGGAGUCUUUAUUCAUGAAAACAGAUUAAAAAAAUCAAAUUGAUAUAUCCUUUGGGCCAAUUCCUAGAGCAGUGAUGAAACUAGAGUAUGCCUGUGGGUGUUUCCAGUGAGAAGAGGCAGGGUUCCAACUCGGUUCUGAGUCAUCGCUACUUGGGAAUAGGGAAUAGGAGAGUUACUUAUCAUUGAGUCAAAUGCUAAAGGACCUAAUACUGAAAUACUAUAUUCCAAGACUCAGAGAUGAUGAAUGGAGAUGAAAAAGGAGGAAGGGGUCAUUUUUUUUCCCACCCCGUGCAUAGAUAAUACUUUAAGCCAACUCAUUUGUGAUUUUUGUCAUGUUGUCUCUUGCAUUUGAUUAAGAAUCAUGUGAGGAAGUGAGCUUGAGGAAUAAAUUCCUGAGGAAAUAAGAAAUCGUUUAACAUUAACAACUUGAUCUUAUUCUUGUGAACUGCAUAAGCCAGGAAAAGCAGAAUGUUACAGAAUUUAUUCGAAUCAUUUUUCAAAGAAAAAUCUAAAUCAUUUCUUUAUUUCCUAUAUGUUCAUGUAGCACAAUUUGGUACUUUAAAAGUAUGAGUAAUUUUUAAAUCUACUAUAAGAACUUGAAAUCUCAUCAUUUAUAUUUUCUUUUCUCUGAUUUCCUGGUCAUUUAUCAUGAAUUAGUAUUUUAUGGUCUAUAAUCAGAUUUUUCUCAAAGUGCCCUAAAUUUAAGCUGCAAGCAUUUAAGAUUACUCUGACAGUUAAGACAAAAAUACCCGGCUGCUUCAGGUCAAACUAGUGCCUAUGGAAUAUAUUUUUUUCUGUAUUGUUGAAAUCAACAUUCAUUUUUGUUCUUAGCGUGAUAGUUUUUGCAUCAUAAGCCAGGGUCAGAAUUGUACCUAGUAGCAUAAAUAAAUAUGUUUAUAAAGCAUAAGAUAAUAAGAAGUCAACUUGAGACCACUUAAAAAUUCCAAAUUUGAUAAAAACAGAGAAUUUUGUCUGUUUUCAUGAAUAAAGACUCAUUGUUACUUUAAAGCAAUUUAAAGUUGAGUUUUUGAAAGUUCGUUAAAAGCAAGGCAGGUAUUUUUGCAAGAUAUGCUGAAAACAUAUUAUGCCAGGGAAGAGACACUUAGGGAUCUGUGUUUAACUCUGGAAAAUAGAGAGUUGGUUACACCCAGAGAACAGACAGCAGUUUCAGUCCUUAUAAUCCCUGUCUUUUGAUGUGUAGUACAUAAGGAGUUACUUGCUAUUAUCUCGCUUUUCGACUGUCUUUGGCAAAAUGAAGAGAGGGCAUCAUGACAAUACAGCAUGCUGUUUUUAAGAGGAAUAAAAUGAUAUUGUAAUAGAAAAGAACCAAUCUGACUCCAUAUUAGAUCUGUUCUUUGGCUUUUACCCUGUGCCCUGUUUUCUAGGUUUAGUCUUGCUAGCUCUGCACCUUUUGUAAAAGAAUGUCACCUUUAGCCUGAAAUAUACAGGAGAGCCUAUUCUAAAGGCUCUGACCUUUAAGGAUAUUAACACUUUUGCACUUAUAUAAAGAUAACAAGUUGCAGAAUAGAAAAUAACAUUUGUUUUGUUAAGAGAUUUUACAGGGGCACCAUGACCUGACCCACGGGGACAGCUGCAAGAACAAAGAAUUCCUGCACCAAGAAGUUUGCAACAACCAACCAUACCCUCUCCCCUUUUAGUAUAAAAGGAGCCUGAAUUCUGACUUGAGGAUGGUGCUCCAAGACAUUAGUCUGCCGUCCUCUCUGUCUGCUGGCUUUCCGAAUAAAGUCGUUAUUCCUGGCCCCACCACCUUGUUUCCCGAUUUAUUGGCCUGUUGUGGAGUGAGCGGAAUGAGUUUGGACUCGGUACAAUAUGAACAAAACUAUUAUGUACACCAGAUACAGUAAAUGGUUUACAGUAGCUGUGCAGUCUCUGUGGGAAUGAAUUAUCAGACAAAGCGAAAUGGAGAAUUUGAAGACAACCAAGUUCAAGUGAGAUAUUAAAUUAAAGGUUUUGGUAACUUUCAGUUCACUUAUGUUCUGAUUUUCUAAAGUCUCUGAGACAUUAGUUAGGGUAACUUAAUUAUCCUAUUUAAGAGAGGUCUAUUGUGAGAGAAGUUUUGUACAGGAAAAUAUAUUACAUCCUGUAGUUAACCUUGAUUUUUUGCUACAACUCUGUGGGUCACAGUCACUGACAAAGAGGAAAGAUACCAAAAACAACUAUAAGAGCAAAGAUGUGGUAACUCUUACUAUGUGAUAGGCACUCUUUACAUGCAUAAUCUCAUUCAAUUCUCCCAGUCACCAUUUUGGGUAGAUACUAUUAUUAUUACUAUUAUUAUUCCCACAACUUGCCCAAGUUUGCACAAAUAGAAAGUGGCAGAACCUGGGAUUAACCAAGAUCUGCCUCUUUGAACAGUUUUCACUCUUAAACACUACACUAUAAUGGCUUUUUUCCUCUCACAUCUACUGUUGAGUUAUCUUAGGACAAAAUGUGCAUAUCAAACUUUAUCGUGAAUGGAAGCUCUAAUUGUGUCUUUUUGAAUCCCAUUGAUUAAAGGGUUAUCACUUUUUGUUUUCCCUUCUUUAAGGAGGGAAAUUCUAAAGGCGUAUUUAUUAGAGGUCUUUGAGCAAUUGAUGUGACUGGAACUAUUUAUGCCAUUAAUCGUUCUGUGUAAUACCAAUGUGGUGAUAUUUUUAGGUCACUUUGUCCCUCAUGACUGGUCUCAAAUAGCUGGGAGCUUUCUAUAUAGUAAACCAAUUGUCUCAGUUCCUUAAAUCCUGGCUUAAUUAAUCACUAUAUACUUUGGUUGAGCCCUUAUUUUGUGUUUAUUUCUUUAAUGAAAAUUUUCUGUGAUUUAAUAUCUUCUAGUUGUUUCUCCAAAAGUAACAAAAUUUUGAGAUAAGGUAAGCUCAUUAAAUAAGCUAAAUUGUUGCUUAGUAGAAGCCAACAUAUUCUUCUGUUGAAUGUCAUUUUUUGGUUUUUACUACUUGUUGUAAUUGUGUGAGAACCAGAGCCUUAAAUGAAUAUUGUAAGCAGAGUUUAAAGACAACACUAGAAAAAAUGUCACAAAUCACAUUUAUCCUCAAUACAGGAGUUCCCUUUCAUUUGAGGUUUUGCUUUGCCUGGUUUCAGGUACCCAUGGUCAACUGCUUUCCGAAAAUAUUAAAUGGAAAAUUCCAGAAAUAAACAAUUCAUCGAUUUUAGAUUGCACAGCAUUCUGAGUAGUGCCAUCCCACUCCAGCUCACUCAGGGUUCCCAACUCUGGACUUCAUCAUGGCUUGAUGCUCCGGGAUGCCCCCAAAGCAGAUGGUCCGCCAUCUGACCUAUCGUCGGAAGGCAUCCACUGGGGUCUUGGAGCAUAUCUUCCACGGAAAAAGAGGACUCCUGCAACUCUCCGUUGGGUUCUGAAACCACUUGUUUGCCAAUUUUGCACAACUCAAAGUUCUCAGCUUGGAAGUUCUAAGUGAAUCAUACUGUGAAUGGAAAGAAUGAAGGAGAGCUAAGCCAACGUGGAAACAUCACAUAUACGGCAUUUUGAUGAAAUAACAUAUGUUAUAGACACAAAGGAUGGAUGCAGGAGAUAAAGAGAUGAUGGCCCCAAUGACUGGGUGAUGGAGGGAAAGCUCAGUUGGAACAAAUUCGAUGAAAUGUUUGUUUAGACUUCAAGCUGGGGAAGUCAUCCCUUCUCCACCCCAUGUGGUCCUGGUGGAAUUUCUCUUACGACGCUCUUGCCACCUUCCAAUUAACCAGAAGAGUAGCCAGGAGGCCCAAGACGGCUAAAUAAAAUACACUCACCUCCUGAGGAUAAUAUGAGUCUUUUUAUGAGAUUUGGUAUCUACAUUAGGUCAGGAAAAAAGUCUCUGUUACUUCUGGGCCACCUGCCAGCAGAACGGAAGCUUGGAACCGUCAGCACCUGUGGUUGCUGCCACAAGGAGAGAGUCUGCCUGAGAAUAACUCAUGUGCACAGAGAGAAGCAGAGUCAAUGGAUGGAGAGACAGUCCUCUGAGAGCAUUAUUUAAGCCCAUGCAUCCAGUCUAUCUCAUCGAUCCCACUUUUGGAGCCAAUAAAUUCUUUUUUUUUUAAGCUUAUUUGAGUUUUAAGCUGCAACUGAAAGAGUUCUGAAUGAUUUAAAAGUGUUAUCCUUGUUUCAUGGAAAAGGAAACUAGCCUCCAAAUGUCACAUGACUUGUCCAAGAUCUCAUGAGGUGUCUUACGAGGUAAUAUCCAGUGGAACAUGAUCACAGUUCUGUCCAAUGCCCGUGAUCUUGCAUAAUUGCAUUUUAAAAGUUUAAAAAAAUGUAUUCACAAUAAAACUCAUCCUUUCGUUGUGCAGUUUUAUGAGUUUUGGCCAGUGCACAGAUCUGAGUCACUGCCACCAGUUUCGGCGCCCUCAAGGGGCUCCCUCACACUGUUCCUUUGUAGUCAGACCCUCCUCCUACUCUUAACACUUGACAACUACUGAUUUGUUCUCUGUCCCUAAAAAGUUUUGCCUUUUUUUCAGAAUGUCAUAUAAAUGGAAUCACACAGCCUUUUGAAUCCGGCUUCUUUUCACUUAGCAGUUGAAAUUCACCCAUACUGUUGGAUGUUACCAGCAUAAAUGCUUUAUGAAGUCAUGCUUCAAGCAGCUUUUCAAUCAUGUCCUCUUUGGUGUGAUUGGAGCAUAUACAGGUUUUAAAAAAGAGGAAAAGAGACACAUACUGGGUUGAAUAGUAUUCUACCAAGAUUUCCAUCCAACUGGAAUUUAGGAAUAUAAUCUUAUUUGGAAAUAGGGUCUUUGUAGAAAUAAUCAAGUUAAGAUGAUGUCAUUCUGGAUUAGGCUGGGACCUAAUCCAAUGACUAGUCUUCUUAGGGGAAGAGAGAAAUUUGGACACAAAGACACGAAGGAAGGGGAUGUCACAUGGCCACAGAAGCACAGAUUGGAGACAGGCACCUGCAAACCAAGAAACGCCAGGAAUUGCCUGCAACCGUAAGAAGCUACAAAAGAGGCAUGGAACAGACUCGCCCUCAGAGGCUCCAUGUGGAUCUGACUUUGCUGACACCUUGAUUUUGGACUUCCAGCUUCCAGAACUGGGAGAGCUAGAUUUCUGCUUGAAUUCGCUUAGUUUAUGGUCAUUUGUUGUGGCAGCCCUUGGAAACUAACACAGGAAGGUACGAAGUUACAGGGCAUUGCCUUUAAGGCAGCUUCCAUCCAAGAAAAGAGCCUAACUGAGGAAACAGGAUACAUGAAGACUGAGUUCCUUCACUUUACAGUUUUGCCUUAGGAUGGGUUUGAUUGAAUUCUAGAGCCAAGUAGUAACAGCCUCGUGAAUACUGAUAUGUAUUUCCCCAGGUGUCAAAUGUAUUACUGCUAACUAAAAGGUGAAACCUGUUUUUAAAAUAUGAUAAACAAUGUAGAGAUCUAUCUUUGGCCUCCCCAUCAACCACUUUUAAAAUAAACUCAUCCAAAAUCACCAUGUUACCAUUGUGGAAAAAAAAAAUGUUCAAGUUGGGGAGGAGGGGGCCACCUUUCAUCAAUCUUUUUAUUAGCAAUCUCCAGAAGAUUAGAGACUCAGGAAGUUAGGUAUUAAAAUUUAAUUAACUUUCCAAGUUACAUGAAAGAAAAAAAUAAGGAAAAUCCACAUUCCUUCAGAGAAGAAAUCUUCUAAAGUGCAUCUCAGUCUGCUGCUUGGACUUGAGAUACAAAUUAGGGGAUAUUUUUAGGAGACAAAGAAUGUAUAGCAUUUUGAGACUUAAGAUGUACAGCCUAUGGGUAAUAACUGAGCAAGUUAGUCACAAGUAAAUUAGCAUUUUAGACAAGCCAAGAGAAUGGAUUUUUUUCUUAAGAGAUAUUUAAUGUCUACACGAUAUUUAUUAUUGUUGAUUCAGCCAAAAAUAUCAGUUAAUCUACCUAAAAAAAAUAGAUUGCUAUGUCUCACUGUCCAGAUUGAUUUGGUAAGCCUGAACUGGUGCCUAGGAAAUCUAUUUGAUUUUUUUUCCCAAAUUCUUCAGGUCAUCCUGAUGGACAACCGAGUUGGAGAACAGCUAAUAUGGAAAAUGCUCGCACAGAAAGAAGCUUUGAUCUCCCAAAGCCUGGGGAAUUAGAGCUGAGGUCAAUCCGAGGUCAAAUACCAAAAGCAAAAUAUUAGAAUGGAAGUAAUAUAAUACUUAGGGUCAAGAAGCAGAGGCAGGGUCCAAAGGGGAAAGCACGAUUUAGGGUGGAAGCAAGCUUCAUGAAACAGGAAGGGAGGUCAGAAUGCCAAUGAGAAGUCACAGUGAGCACAGGCAAGGAUUGGAAAGCAGAACACGGGAAGUCCUGGGAUUCAGAAUUUGAGGUUCAGUCAAGCUCAGGGCACGGUGAAGACUUUACCUGCACCAGAUUCCUGUCU